ACGGACGCUGGCGGCGUGCUUCACACAUGCAAGUCGAACGGAAAGGCCCCAGCUUGCUGGGGUACUCGAGUGGCGAACGGGUGAGUAACACGUGGGUGAUCUGCCCUGCACUCUGGGAUAAGCCUGGGAAACUUGGUCUAAUACCGGAUAGGACCGUGCUUUAGUGUGUGCGGUGGAAAGUUUUUCGGUGCAGGAUGAGCCCGCGGCCUAUCAGCUUGUUGGUGGGGUAAUGGCCUACCAAGGCGGCGACGGGUAGCCGGCCUGAGAGGGUGUACGGCCACAUUGGGACUGAGACACGGCCCAGACUCCUACGGGAGGCAGCAGUGGGGAAUAUUGCACAAUGGGCGCAAGCCUGAUGCAGCGACGCCGCGUGGGGGAUGACGGCCUUCGGGUUGUAAACCCCUUUCGGCAGGGACGAAGCUUUUGUGACGGUACCUGCAUAAGAAGCACCGGCUAACUACGUG
rnacentral:rRNA from 1 species